rnacentral:tRNA from 5 species
GGGACGUUAGCUCAGUCGGUAGAGCAGCGGACUUUUAAUCCGUUGGUCGCGUGUUCGAGUCACGCACGUCCCACCA